rnacentral:rRNA from 2 species
UACGUAGGGACCGAGCGUUGUCCGGAAUCAUUGGGCGUAAAGAGCGUGUAGGCGGCCCCUUAAGUCCUGCGUGAAAUCCUGCGGCUCAACCGCAGACGGUCGUGGGAAACUGGAGGGCUAGAGUGCGGGAGAGGAGAGUGGAAUUCCCGGUGUAGCGGUGAAAUGCGCAGAUAUCGGGAAGAACACCCGUGGCGAAGGCGGCUCUCUGGAACGCAACUGACGCUGAGACGCGAAAGCGUGGGGAGCAAACAGG